UAAGUAGGAUGUGAAAUCACGAGGCUCAACCUCGUGGCUGUGCCCUAAACUGGCAAACUAGAGAAUAUGAGAGGUCACUGGAAUUCCUAGUGUAGGAGUGAAAUCCGUAGAUAUUAGGAGGAACACCAAUGGCGAAGGCAGGUGACUGGCAUAUUUCUGACACUGAGGCUCGAAAGCGUGGGGAGCGAACGGGAUUAGAUACCCCGGUAGUCCACGCCGUAAACGAUGGAUACUA
rnacentral:rRNA from 1 species